rnacentral:lncRNA from 1 species
AUCCCAUUUCUACUCCAAUUAAUUACUAUUUCAAUCCUCUUUUUAUCCCAUUUUUAUCCCAAUUCAACCCCAUUUUUAUCUCAUCUUUAUUUCAACUCAAUCCCAUUUCCAUCCCAAUUCAAUCCCGUUUCUAUCCCAUCUUUAUCUCAAUUCAAUCUCAAUUCAAUCCCAUUUUUCUCCCAUUUCCAUCCCAAUUCUAUUCCAGCUCAGUUCCAUUGAAAUCCCAUUUUUACCCCAUUUUUAUCCCAAUUCACUCCCAUUUUUAUUCCUUUUCCAUCCCAACUCAAUCCCAUUUCCAUCCCAAUUCAAUCCUGGUUUUAUUCCAUUUCAUUCCCAAUUUUAUCCAAAUUAAAUCCUGGUUUUAUCCCAAUUCAAUCCCAUUUGCAUCCCAUUUCUAUUCCAGUUCAAUCCCAUUUUUAUCCCCUUUAAAUCCCAAUUCAAUCCCAUCUUUAUCCCAUUUCAAUCCCAUUUUUAUUCCCAUUUCCAGCCCAAUUCCAUCCCCUUUUUACCCCAAUUCAAUCCCACUUAAAUCCCAAUUAAUUACCAUUUUUAUCCCAAUUCAAUCUUUUUUAUCCCACCUAAAUCCCACUGCCAUCCCACAAUUAUCCUAUUUCUAUCCCAUUGAAAUCCCAAUCAAAUUCCAUUUUUAUCUCAUCCUCAUCCCAAUUAAAUCCUCGUUUUUUCCCAUUUUUAACCAAUUUUUCUCCCAAUCAAAUCUCAUUUUUACCCCAUUCUUUUCCCCUUUUCUCCCAUUUUUAACCCAUUUUUCUUCCAUUUUUCUCCCAUUUUUUACCCAUUUUUAACCCAUUUUUCUUCCAUUUUUACCCUGUUUUUCUCCAGUUUUUCUCCCAUUUUUCCCCAUUUUUCCCCAAUUAAAUCCCCUUUUUUCCCCCUUUUUCACCCCAUUUUUCUCCCAAUUAAAUCCCAUUUUUUCUCCCAUUUUUUCCCCAUUUUUCCACCCAUUUUUCCCCAUUUUCCCCAUCCCCACCUGUCUCUCAUGCUCCUGCUGCAGCAUCUUCUCCUGCGCCGCCUUCUUGUCGGCCUUGACUGGGGAGGGAGCAGAAA